AAGCGGUGUGCGAGGAGGGUUUUUCGGUCUCAGUUGGCGCGGAGAUGGCGAGGUGGAGGUUGUGCGGUUUUCCGGGUGGCUGACCCUAGUGAAUCUCAAAAGUCUUCUGGGUCUUAAGCAUGUAAAGGGACUGUGCUGAGCUGUCAAUGUGACUUCUUACAGCCUGGGGUUUGGUGAAACCCAGCCUUGGAAAUGAGGAUUGAUACUAACUAGAGAGCAGUGGCUGUUGAAGACGUGAGAGAAUAGAGCAUCAUGUGACGAACAAACUACUGCUCUUGUCCUUGUUUGUGUUGUGCAGUAAAGGAUUCUAAAGGAAUAAGGAAUCAGAAUUCCUGUCAAGAAAAUAUGAAUUCAUUUAUUGAAUGCACUUGAAUUUUUUAAUACACGCUACCCGGACAUGGCAUAA